rnacentral:tRNA from 1 species
GAUGUAGCCAAGUGGAUCAAGGCAG